rnacentral:rRNA from 1 species
UAGGGAAUCUUCCGCAAUGGACGCAAGUCUGACGGAGCAACGCCGCGUGAGUGAAGAAGGAUUUCGGUUCGUAAAACUCUGUUGUUAGAGAAGAACAGCGCAUAGAGUAACUGUUAUGCGUGUGACGGUAUCUAACCAGAAAGACACGGCUAACUACGUGCCAGCAGCCGCGGUAAUACGUAGGUGGCAAGCGUUGUCCGGAUUUAUUGGGCGUAAAGCGAGCGCAGGCGGUCAAUUAAGUCUGAUGUGAAAGCCCCCGGCUCAACCGGGGAGGGUCAUUGGAAACUGGUUGACUUGAGUGCAGAAGAGGAGAGUGGAAUUCCAUGUGUAGCGGUGAAAUGCGUAGAUAUAUGGGGGAACACCAGUGGCGAAGGCGACUCUCUGGUCUGUAACUGACACUGAGGUUCGAAAGCGUGGGUAGCAAACAGG